AUGGUUGAGGCAAAAAAGCAUGAACAAUAUGAUAUUGUUUACAAGCUUCUUAAGUUAUUUUUUUUGUGGGUGUACAAGCUUCUGAAGUUGGUUCUAAUUCUUCCAGUAGCCACUGCUAGUGUUGAAAGGUUAUUCUCCUCAAUGAACUAUGUGAAGAAUCAAUUAAGGAACAAAAUGGGUGAUGAAUAUUUGAACAUUUGCAUGGUUACAUUUGUUGAGAGAGAAUUCUUCAACAAAGUGAAAGACGAAGAUAUCAUCAAUCUCUUCCAGAAAGUGGAUCGCACAGUUAUAUUGUAA
rnacentral:rRNA from 1 species